UCUAAAAUCGACUUCCCCCGUUCCUCGGCGGGAGGAUCGGAGAUGGCUGUCCGUGCCCACCAGCGGCGCGGUCGGCUCAAAUGGGCACGAGAUUUGUGGCCGAUGUCACGAUGAGCGGUGGCCAAUGUUGGUCGGCGUUGGAUUGUGGCAUGGGGUCACGGAUUUGUGCGGAACUUUACUCGUUGUUAGUCGCGACUCUUCCGCGGGAGGGCGCGUCGCAACUU
rnacentral:precursor_RNA from 1 species